GCAGCAUAGAACUGAUUGUGGUCCUCCGAUGCAUUUCUGGUGUCGAGAACUUCCUUUCUCAACCUCCCCUUCCCCCAUAGCCAUCCCCACAAGCUGUCCCAUCAAGGAAUAUUUCAGGUGUAAACUGAAUAUGCCACGAGGCCUCCUCUUCAUGAAGUGCUUGGUUGGCCUACGUAUGGGUGGCAGGCUGGACACAGCUGAAUCGUCUUUCUGGGUCACCCUGUAACUCAAGUCCCCUUUCCCGUUCUCUCCCAACGCUACUUAUCCGCAGGAAUUGGAUGCCGGCUGGCCCCCCUGAUGGUUCCUGGCCUAGGGGCUGUCAUGGCAGAGGGAAGCCACCAAGGGCCCUGUGCUAAUCACGAGUCUUUCCUGUUCGGAGCAGUGAGGCCUGAGACCCUCAACAGUGCUGUGUGUACAGAAGGCCCCCAGAAUCCACACAAAGGGGCCGCCUGAAACCUAGAGCAUUUGUGAAGGAGGAAAAUGGAAGGAACAACUGGAUGUUGUAAAUGUUUCUCAUCUGGCCUUAAAAUCCAUGAAAGCUGGAAAAUCACAAGGCAUCUGUGCAUAUACUGGUGGAUUUUAAUGAGAGUCCUGUGUUUGGAGCACCAGAAAUAAACCAGCUUCAGAAGCAAAGAUCUGAACGUCUAUGACACUCUUUCGAGCUGACACAGUGAAGAACAUAGAAGGAGAACUCACCCAGUCUGCCAGGGUCACAGAAUGAUCAUACUCAAGAUCUUCCUGGGGAGUCAAUGGCAAAUUUCACUGGGCUAUUUUACAGAUGAAGAAGGAACAUAAAGAAGGUUCUGGGACCCC
rnacentral:lncRNA from 1 species